rnacentral:rRNA from 1 species
AGCCCGCUCGCCGGAAGACCAAGGGUUCCUGUCCAACGUUAAUCGGGGCAGGGUGAGUCGACCCCUAAGGCGAGGCCGAAAGGCGUAGUCGAUGGGAAACAGGUUAAUAUUCCUGUACUUGGUGUUACUGCGAAGGGGGGACGGAGAAGGCUAUGUUGGCCGGGCGACGGUUGUCCCGGUUUAAGCGUGUAGGCUGGUUUUCCAGGCAAAUCCGGAAAAUCAAGGCUGAGGCGUGAUGACGAGGCACUACGGUGCUGAAGCGACAAAUGCCCUGCUUCCAGGAAAAGCCUCUAAGCAUCAGGUAACAUCAAAUCGUACCCCAAACCGACACAGGUGGUCAGGUAGAGAAUACCAAGGCGCUUGAGAGAACUCGGGUGAAGGAACUAGGCAAAAUGGUGCCGUAACUUCGGGAGAAGGCACGCUGAUAUGUAGGUGAAGCGACUUGCUCGUGGAGCUGAAAUCAGUCGAAGAUACCAGCUGGCUGCAACUGUUUAUUAAAAACACAGCACUGUGCAAACACGAAAGUGGACGUAUACGGUGUGACGCCUGCCCGGUGCCGGAAGGUUAAUUGAUGGGGUUAGCGGUAACGCGAAGCUCUUGAUCGAAGCCCCGGUAAACGGCGGCCGUAACUAUAACGGUCCUAAGGUAGCGAAAUUCCUUGUCGGGUAAGUUCCGACCUGCACGAAUGGCGUAAUGAUGGCCAGGCUGUCUCCACCCGAGACUCAGUGAAAUUGAACUCGCUGUGAAGAUGCAGUGUACCCGCGGCAAGACGGAAAGACCCCGUGAACCUUUACUAUAGCUUGACACUGAACAUUGAGCCUUGAUGUGUAGGAUAGGUGGGAGGCUUUGAAGUGUGGACGCCAGUCUGCAUGGAGCCGACCUUGAAAUACCACCCUUUAAUGUUUGAUGUUCUAACGUGGGCCCCUUACCGGGGUUGCGGACAGUGUCUGGUGGGUAGUUUGACUGGGGCGGUCUCCUCCUAAAGAGUAACGGAGGAGCACGAAGGUUGGCUAAUCCUGGUCGGACAUCAGGAGGUUAGUGCAAUGGCAUAAGCCAGCUUGACUGCGAGCGUGACGGCGCGAGCAGGUGCGAAAGCAGGUCAUAGUGAUCCGGUGGUUCUGAAUGGAAGGGCCAUCGCUCAACGGAUAAAAGGUACUCCGGGGAUAACAGGCUGAUACCGCCCAAGAGUUCAUAUCGACGGCGGUGUUUGGCACCUCGAUGUCGGCUCAUCACAUCCUGGGGCUGAAGUAGGUCCCAAGGGUAUGGCUGUUCGCCAUUUAAAGUGGUACGCGAGCUGGGUUUAGAACGUCGUGAGACAGUUCGGUCCCUAUCUGCCGUGGGCGCUGGAGAACUGAGGGGGGCUGCUCCUAGUACGAGAGGACCGGAGUGGACGCAUCACUGGUGUUCGGGUUGUCAUGCCAAUGGCACUGCCCGGUAGCUAAAUGCGGAAGAGAUAAGUGCUGAAAGCAUCUAAGCACGAAACUUGCCCCGAGAUGAGUUCUCCCUGAGACUUAGAGUCUCCUGAAGGAACGUUGAAGACGACGACGUUGAUAGGCCGGGUGUGUAAGCGCAGCGAUGCGUUGAGCUAACCGGUACUAAUGAACCGUGAGGCUUAACC